GCACUGAUGACGGGUCCCAAACAGGACGAAACAGUUGUUCAGUGC
rnacentral:hammerhead_ribozyme from 1 species